AGGGAAACCGAGUCUUAACUGGGCGUUAAGUUGCAGGGUAUAGACCCGAAACCCGGUGAUCUAGCCAUGGGCAGGUUGAAGGUUGGGUAACACUAACUGGAGGACCGAACCGACUAAUGUUGAAAAAUUAGCGGAUGACUUGUGGCUGGGGGUGAAAGGCCAAUCAAACCGGGAGAUAGCUGGUUCUCCCCGAAAGCUAUUUAGGUAGCGCCUCGUGAACUCAUCUUCGGGGGUAGAGCACUGUUUCGGCUAGGGGGUCAUCCCGACUUACCAACCCGAUGCAAACUGCGAAUACCGAAGAAUGUUAUCACGGGAGACACACGGCGGGUGCUAACGUCCGUCGUGAAGAGGGAAACAACCCAGACCGCCAGCUAAGGUCCCAAAGUCACAGUUAAGUGGGAAACGAUGUGGGAAGGCUCAGACAGCCAGGAUGUUGGCUUAGAAGCAGCCAUCAUUUAAAGAAAGCGUAAUAGCUCACUGGUCGAGUCGGCCUGCGCGGAAGAUGUAACGGGGCUAAACUGUGCACCGAAGCUGCGGCAGCGACGCUUAUGCGUUGUUGGGUAGGGGAGCGUUCUGUAAGCCUGCGAAGGUGUCCUGUGAGGGAUGCUGGAGGUAUCAGAAGUGCGAAUGCUGACAUAAGUAACGAUAA
rnacentral:rRNA from 8 species